AAUAUCAGUCAUGCAUAGCAUAUCAAUAAGCGGAGGAAAAGAAACUAACAAGGAUUCCCUUAGUAACGGCGAGUGAAGCGGGAAGAGCUCAAAUUUGAAAUCUUCAAGGUUCUACCUUGACGAAUUGUAGUUUAUAGAAGUGUUUUCUGUUAGUGGAGUGGCAAAAGUUCUUUGGAAUAGGACAUCAUAGAGGGUGAGAAUCCCGUAUUUGGUCAUUCCUCCUAGCGUUGUGAUACACUUUCAACGAGUCGGAUUGUUUGGGAAUGCAGUCCAAAAUGGGUGGUAAAUUUCAUCUAAAGCUAAAUAUUGGCGAGAGACCGAUAGCGAACAAGUACCGUGAGGGAAAGAUGAAAAGAACUUUGAAAAGAGAGUUAAACAGUACGUGAAAUUGUCAAAAGGGAAGCGUUUGACACCAGUGUUGUUUUUCCGAAAAUCAAUUACGAAUGUUUUGUUUUUAAGAAGUUAUGACUUCAUCGGCUUGCUUCUUUCUUUACGAAACUUUCUUAAUGCACUUUUCGGUUAACAAGUCAACAUCAAUUUCUUUUGUUGUAAAAGGGUAUGAGGAAGGAGGCUUUCUUUUCGGAGAAAGUGUUUAUAGCCUUGUGCCUCUGCAAUCGGAGAGAUUGAGGUCUGCAGCGUAGAUCCUUCGGGGUUAGAUACAUUUGUGCUAGUUAUAGCUUUUCAUAGACAACUUGUUGACUAUGUUUAGUCUUGUAGCUUACUCGCUUACUGCUAUUUUACCUACGCUUAGGAUGUUGAUCUCUCACAGUCGAGC
rnacentral:rRNA from 1 species